rnacentral:lncRNA from 1 species
GUUCGAUCGAGUCUGGCACAAAGGUUUGUUGUACAAGAUAAAGAAAUGGCUACCUGCUCCGUACUAUUUAUUAAUCAAAUCAUAUCUGGCUAGAAGAUGCUUUUACGUGCAGCAGAAAACCGAUAGUUCAUCACUACUUCUCAUCAACUCAGGCGUCCCACAAGGAAGCGUAUUGGGACCAAUUCUCUACACCCUAUAUACGGCCGACAUGCCAGUUACAAACAACUGCACUGUUGCAACAUAUGCUGAUGAUACAGCCGUUUUAGCCACAAGCACAUCUAUAAAUGAAGCUUCUGAACUCCUGCAGAGUGAGCUAAGCCUAAUUGAAGACUGGUUCCUUCGAUGGAAAAUUAGAAUAAACUCCCUGAAAUCCGUCCAAAUAACGUUUUCAUUAAGACCAGGUAACUGGCCAAAUGUUACACUUAACGGCUCACCAAUUCCACAAAGUACCUGUGUGAAGUAUCUCGGCUUGCAUCUCGACCGCAGAUUAACAUGGAAAAACC